GCGUGAGUGAAGAAGGCCUUAGGGUUGUAAAGCUCUUUCGGCGGGGACGAUGGUGACGGUACCCGCAGAAGAAGCCCCGGCUAACUUCGUGCCAGCAGCCGCGGUAAUACGAAGGGGGCUAGCGUUGUUCGGAAUCACUGGGCGUAAAGGGCGCGUAGGCGGCGCGACAAGUCAGGCGUGAAAGCCCCGGGCUCAACCCGGGAAUUGCGCUUGAUACUGUCGUGCUCGAGGCCGGGAGAGGAUGGCGGAAUUCCCAGUGUAGAGGUGAAAUUCGU
rnacentral:rRNA from 1 species